rnacentral:rRNA from 1 species
CAGUAGCCGCGGUAAAACGGAGGGGGCUAGCGUUGUUCGGAAUUACUGGGCGUAAAGAGUGCGUAGGCGGUUUAGUAAGUUGGAAGUGAAAGCCCGGGGCUUAACCUCGGAAUUGCUUUCAAAACUACUAAUCUAGAGUGUAGUAGGGGAUGAUGGAAUUCCUAGUGUAGAGGUGAAAUUCUUAGAUAUUAGGAGGAACACCGGUGGCGAAGGCGGCCAUCUGGGCUACAACUGACGCUGAUGCACGAAAGCGUGGGGAGCAAACAGGAUUAGAUACCCCAGUAGUCCCUGUCUCUUAUAC